AUUGAACGCUGGCGGCAGGCUUAACACAUGCAAGUCGCACGAGUGGCGGACGGGUGAGUAAUGCUUGGGAAUCUCGCUUAUGGAGGGGGAUAACUACGGGAAACUGUAGCUAAUACCGCGUACCAUAGGCUGAGCCCAAGUGGGAUUAGGUAGUUGGUGAGGUAAAGGCUCACAAAGCCGACGAUCCCCAGCUGGUCUGCGAGGAUGACCGGCCACACUGGGACGGAGACACGACCCAGACUCCUACGGGAGGCAGCAGUGGUGAAUAUUGCGCAAUGGGCGCAACCUGACGGAGCCAUGCCGCAUGAGUGAAGAAGGCCUUCGGGUUGUAAAAUUCUUUCGGUAGCGAGGCGUUAACUACAGAAAAAGCACCGGCUAACUCCGUGCCAGCAGCCGCGGUAAUAC
rnacentral:rRNA from 1 species